UGUGAGGUUAAGCGACUAAGCGUACACGGUGGAUGCCCUGGCAGUCAGAGGCGAUGAAGGGCGUGCUAAUCUGCGAUAAGCGCCGGUAAGGUGAUAUGAACCGUUAUAACCGGCGAUACCCGAAUGGGGAAACCCAGUGUGAUUCGUCACACUAUCAUUAACUGAAUCCAUAGGUUAAUGAGGCGAACCGGGGGAACUGAAACAUCUAAGUACCCCGAGGAAAAGAAAUCAACCGAGAUUCCCCCAGUAGCGGCGAGCGAACGGGGAGGAGCCCAGAGCCUGAAUCAGCAUGUGUGUUAGUGGAAGCGUCUGGAAAGGCGCGCGAUACAGGGUGACAGCCCCGUACACAAAAGCGCAUGUGCUGUGAGCUCGAUGAGUAGGGCGGGACACGUGGUAUCCUGUCUGAAUAUGGGGGGACCAUCCUCCAAGGCUAAAUACUCCUGACUGACCGAUAGUGAACCAGUACCGUGAGGGAAAGGCGAAAAGAACCCCGGCGAGGGGAGUGAAAAAGAACCUGAAACCGUGUACGUAC
rnacentral:rRNA from 1 species